rnacentral:rRNA from 1 species
AUGCAUGUUUUGAUUAACGAUCCAUCCCCAACACGCCAAAUGAUACCUUUCUUUACAAGCUCAAGACCAUGGACAAUCCCCUUCCACACCGCAGAAGAGGUAGCAGGAAACACCGUGUCUAGGAGAUUCCCGUGGGGGAAGUAUUUAGCUCUGAGGAGUCUAGCACAUAAGCUUUGUGGGCAGUCCAACAAAUGCCAAGCCUGCUUUGCGAGCAGGGCCUGGUUAAAAUCUCUCAUAUCGCGAAAUCCCAUGCCCCCCAUAGCCUUGGGAAGCAUCAUUUUCUCCCAACUGAGCCAUGCCAUCUUCCUUUUACCAUUCUCCACCCCCACCAGUACUGUCUCGUCAUCCGUGUUAACUCAUCACAUACAGAGGCAGGCAACUUGA